GAGCAAGAAAGGAGCCAAAAGAAACAUUCCAUUCUGGAUAAUUCAGAACAGGUACAGCAGAGAAUACUACAGAGUUAAAUAGCCAAAAUGGCCCUAAGGAGAAAAAUUUUAUAUGUAUAUAUUGUUUUUGAGUUAGACAGAAAGGAUUUGGUUCGUUGCCCUCAGGAUAAGGUCACAGUUUGAGUCAACCAACUGAUAAUGCCAGGAAAGCAUUUUAAAGAAGCACAAACAGUGUUGACUCCAAGGGCACAUUUAAUAAACAUCCUGCCCACUAAACUCUGUCUCAGAGCCUGCUUCCAGGACAACCCAAAGUGCAAGAGGAGAGUAUGGAAAUGAAGAAAUAGUUGGAAUUCAAGGUUCAAAAUGACCUGUCUCCUGUAUACCACUUUGUGAUGCUGAGGCCGAGACUCUGUGAACCAUGUUUCUCCUUUGCCAGCUUCUCCCUAUAUUGACUUUGCCAAUGGAGGACUCUAGAAGAAAACUAGAAGUCUGGGGAAGAAAGAAAAGUCACUGCUUCUUCCUAUUUACUUCCUGCGCCGUCAGCAUUAAUCUGGGAAUGCUUCUUCGCCCCAGCAGUGGUGAUUCAUGUAGUAGUUGUAGUAGAUUCCAGAAUACAAUUUUUCCCACACUCCCAGAACAAGCUCAUCAUGCUCCCUUUGAGCUCGAAGACACCAGUACCAGCCAAGCAGCCCCUACCUCCUCGGAUGUCUAAGUCUAAGCCCCAUGGGCCCCUUCUCCAAGCCCUAAGUUUUAAAAAUUGCAACUUUUUCCUAUGUUCUUUCAUCUUUAGGGGUGGUGGUCCUUAGUGUCUCCUCCCCUGGG
rnacentral:lncRNA from 1 species